rnacentral:rRNA from 1 species
CCCUUAGAUGUUCUGGGCCGCACGCGCGCUACACUGAUACGCUCAACGAGCUCCUUGGCCGAAAGGUCCGGGUAAUCUUUGAAAUCGUAUCGUGAUGGGGAUAGAACAUUGCAAUUUUUGUUCUUCAACGAGGAAUGCCUAGUAAGCGCGAGUCAUCAUCUCGCGUUGAUUACGUCCCUGCCCUUUGUACACACCGCCCGUCGCUCCUACCGAUUGAAUGGUUCAGUGAGAUAAUCGGACAGAAAACUUGGCAACUGGCAACAGUUGACGUGCAUUUUUGGAAGACGAUCAAACUUGGUCAUUUAGAGGAAGUAAAAGUCGUAACA